GACGAACGCUGGCGGCGUGCUUAACACAUGCAAGUCGAACGGAAAGGCCCUGCUUUUGUGGGGUGCUCGAGUGGCGAACGGGUGAGUAACACGUGAGUAACCUGCCCUUGACUUUGGGAUAACUUCAGGAAACUGGGGCUCAUACCGGAUAGGAGCUCCUGCUGCAUGGUGGGGGUUGGAAAGUUUCGGCGGUUGGGGAUGGACUCGCGGCUUAUCAGCUUGUUGGUGGGGUAGUGGCUUACCAAGGCUUUGACGGGUAGCCGGCCUGAGAGGGUGACCGGCCACAUUGGGACUGAGAUACGGCGCAGACUCCUACGGGAGGCAGCAGUGGGGAAUAUUGCACAAUGGGCGGAAGCCUGAGGCAGCAACGCCGCGUGCGGGAUGACGGCCUUCGGGUUGUAAACCGCUUUCGCCUGUGACGAAGCGUGAGUGACGGUAAUGGGUAAAGAAGCACCGGCUAACUACGUG
rnacentral:rRNA from 1 species